AGGGGGAGAAAGAUACAGUAGGUUAUGAUGUAGGGAUGGAGACAGGAAGUGGGGAGAGGGGGAGAAAGAUACAGUAGGUUAUGAUGUAGGGAUGGAGACAGGAAGUGGGAGAGGGGGAGAAAGAUACAGUAGGUUAUGAUGUAGGGAUGGAGACAGGAAGUGGGAGAGGGGGAGAAAGAUGCAGUAGGUUAUGAUGUAGGGAUGGAGAUAGAGCUGGAGACGUAGGGUAUGACAAAUGAGCUGUUCCUAGGGUCUGCUGACCUGUAACAUGUGACUGGGGUUAGAGGUCAGGGAGGAAGAACAACGGUUCUAAAUGUGAACUCAAGCACUCAAUUAGGCAGAGAGAGCGAGAAAGAGAGAGAGAGGACUGGUGUUCUUUUAAAUAUAUUUUUUAUUUAACCUUUAUUUAACUAGGCAAGUACAGGUACAGAGACAUCAUACUGACCUACUUUAACCUCUAGUCAAUAUGUUAGAAUCAGACUUUAUAGAGAAAGGGGCUCCCACUGCAUAUACUGCAUAUAUGUACAUAUUAUUAUUAUUAUAUAUUUUUUAUUAUUACUAGUAUUCGUAUAUACAGUAUACAGUGCAUUCUGAAAGUAUUCAUACCCCUUGACUUUUUCCCCAUUUUGUUAUGUUACAGCCUUAUUCUAAAAGUUUUUAUUUAUUUUUAAAUCCCUUCAUCAAUCUACAAACAAUACUCCAUAAUCACAAAGCCAGUACUGUUUUUUUUAUUUUAUUUUAACAGAUGUAUAAAAAAUAAAAAUCUGAAAAUCACAUUUA